CUUUUCUUUUUCCCUUAAAGAAACAGAUAGAUGUAUCCUUGGGCCAUCGGGGGAAUUGGGAAGCCAAAGCUGAUACUGAGUUGGCGAUAAAUGCAAUAUAACUCUGCUGCUUAAACCACGCUGUCUUGCCUGCCUGUGUUUUUUACUGUCGCUACAUUCUCCCUCCCAGGUUUGUUAUUGAGCCACCAAGGUUAGGACUUAGGAGGAUUAAGGGGAAAAGCAUUUAAAGAGUAUUCUCGUCCAGUUGCAACUUUGAUCUAUUAUGGAGUCCGGAUCACCUGAAAAUUUAAAUGAUGAGAAAGCAGUCAGCCUGACAAAUGACAUUGUGGUGAAUACUGAACCUAAAUUGGAUGAAAAUCAUGAAGAAACUACUGAACUCAACAUGAUUAAUUUUAGAGGGGGAGGUAAUGAGGUAUCAGAUGCUAGGUCUGUGGAUGUGAAUGCCUCAUGCGGGUCAAGUACGAAAGCUGCUAUUUUCUUAGAUGAUGCCAUACGUGCUGGUGGUUUUGGAGCUAGAGAUGAUAUCGGAUCUUUUCUUCCUGUUGCAAGCGAUUUUACGGACUUCGAAGCUUCUCUCCGUGAUGCCCAAGAUUACGAAGAGUCUAAAGAAGAAAUUGGAAGACCAGGUCUUGGCUGGGCAGAAGUUAAAAAUCAAAAGUAACUGUCUACCGCGAUUUGGAACUAUUCAUGGCUCUAAUCUUCUGAAUGCCUGGAGAAGUUGGUCCCUUUGUAGGACUUGUAUGCUGAGUAGGAGGAAGUGGACAUCCACUCAUCUAAGGUCUUGAAUUUAAGCUUAAUUAUUGGUUAUGAAUUGAAAGUAGACACUCAUAUCUCGUAGGGGGGGUGUAUUCUGCCCAACUCCUUUCGGCCAUAUAAUUUCUAGAUCGUGGGGGUGUAUUCUGCCCAACUCCUUUCGGCCAUAUAAUCUCUAGAUCGUGAGGACGGUGAAUAAUCACUAAUCUGGUAGAGAGAACGUGCACACAAUUUGACAGUGGCUACUGCUGAGUUUGUGAUUGAAAAAUGCGGUGACUAAGGAAUCAUCGUAAUCUAUACAUCAUGCAAUUCUCUCCACUAAGCACCAAGAUCUCAUUAAUUUGUGCGGCGACAGAACAAAUCUACGCUAAUAGGCACCUGGGUAUCUCCAGUUCUCCACUAAACAUAUACUAAUACCAGUACUUUGAGAAGAUGUGCUAUCAUGAUAGGUUGCUUUAUUGAUUUAUGAGUGCAGAUCAAUUCAUAUAAUUGUAUGGUGUAAUGUUCCCUUCGUCGUCAACAUCCUGCUCUAAUCUUUGUCUAUUUGUCGCUCUUUAACUAUCCCUUCCCAGGUUGCUAUUCUAAUAAUUACAUCUAUUAGGAAGAUAUUCGUAUUAUUGUUUGAGUUGGGCUCUAUUAAGAGCAUAAAAUUUGUAUUAUGUUGAUUCAAUUUUUUUUUAUUAAUAUUGUUAUUUACAUGA